AAGAGCUUAAUUAAAUUAUAAUAUAGAAUUGUCAUUUCUAAAUUACCCUUUUUGGGUAGUUCUUA
rnacentral:tRNA from 1 species